GGGUCGCGGGUCGCUAGCAGGGCGACCGCUCCCGGGAGUUGGGUCCAGGGCUCAAGAGGAGGGCGGAAGUGGAGCAGUCCCUCCCUUCUCUCCUAGCUGCAGACACUCCGAGAUUGGGGGCCCUUUUCCCCUCUCCAGGCACAGGCCUCCCUGGGCGGACGUGCAGAGUUUGGGAUAUGUGCACUGGGCGUUUCCCUCUCCCCAUUUUGUGUCUCCUGUCUCCGGUGCCAGUCUGCAGUGGUGCAAUUUGCUGGCGGACCGCAGAGCAGACGUCUUCUAGAGAUGUCCGAGUGGUUACUCACUGCAAGAACUGGUCAGAUACUUCUGAGAGCUGAGCACGGAACAGGUUCCUCACAUGGACAGAAAUAACUGAAUGUAAGAUCAUUCCGCACAACUUCCCAUCCAUGUUGGAAUCCCUUCUACAGAACCGCAGCUCCUAGUUGAAAACUUCUGGCAUCAAAAUGCCUUUUCUUCACAAGCAACCCAUUCUACUUUCUGUCACCUCUCAAGAACUUCAAGUCAGGAGGAGUCAUCUCCAAGCAUCCACACCUGAGGGGCUUCCUCUUCUCCAGACCUGAUGGAGAUGCUGAAGUUCUGGAUCUGAAGCGUAAGCCUGAUAAUGUCACAGAUGAGACUGUGGGGGUUCUGAGGAUGACUGUAUUCAAAUGUGUGAGGAACAUGAUUCUUUGAAGUGCUAGAGGGCAGCCCGUGGUAGCUAGUCUUCAAAGCUAGCCCCCCAGUGAACCACCUCUCCUAGUAUUCAUGAUCUUGUGCUGUCCUCUUUCUGGAAUCUGGGCUGUUCCUGUGACUGUGGCUAAUAGAAAGAAAGCAGUGACAGUGAUGUCAUGUGACUUCUGAGGACAGGUCAUAGGGAGCCUUUUGGCUUCCACCUGGGUUUCUUAGAAUGCUCGCUCUGGAACAAGCCAGCCAUCAUGUAAGCAGUCUGAUUCCUUUGAGACUCAGAUGCUAUGAGGAGGCUAAGCUAGCUGUGUGGAAAGUUUACAGGAGAAAGCAAUACAGUCUGUCAGACUCUACCUGCUCUGGUAAUCCCAGCUGAGAUCAGAUAUGAGAGUCAAGAUGCUGCCAUCUUGGAUGUACAGCCCAGCUGAACCUGCAUCUGACUCUUGACCUGCAACCAUGUGAGAGACCCCUCCCCCUGGCCGCCAAGGGACCACUGAGCCAGUCAAUCCACAAAACUGAGAGAUAAAAAUAUUUUAAGCCACUGGUAACUGA